GGGACAAGAAGUCUCAUGUUCUGUCCACUGCAGUGUACACUCUCACAACUUUCAGCCUUUUUGAAAGACUUAAACAUCCCCCAAACUAAACAUCCACUUCCUUCCUUAACAGUUCUAAAGUCAUUCUUUCGUUCUCAUUUCAUGGCUCUGCAACAAUAACUAUUUAGCUAACCACAGCCCCUUUUCCGAUCUCUGUUAAUGAACUUCAGCUUUAGUUGGUCUUUCUCAUAUUGGAGACAGCACAGCUCACUUUAGUUCCUGAAAACUCAGAUGAAGGAGUAUUCUUUCUUUAAGUUCUGUCUUGUAUGGUUCCCCACCGCCUGUGCUGCCAAUGCAGAAACUCUAAGCCUUUGGCCCAGCUCCACCUGACUCAAAUGUACAUCUGCAAUGAUUUAGUUCUAAUAGAAUUGAUUUACAAACCCAGUUGUGGUUGACUGCAGCUGGACGUAAGGCAUCUGGUGUCAGGACAUGUUAUAAAACAGUUCUGUUUAAACAAGAUCACCAUGGAAUGGGCCUCAGGAACGGCAAAUCAUUUCCCACAGGAGGAAGCCAAAAAGAUAAAGAUAUAAGAAGGGAAGAUGGAGAUGGAAAAUAAUCAACUCAUUUGAAGCAGGAAGAAUGAAUUAAUGACUGGAUGACACUAAAAAUAUGAUUUAUCGAAAUACA